rnacentral:rRNA from 1 species
UACGAAGGGAGCUAGCGUUGUUCGGAAUUACUGGGCGUAAAGGGCGCGUAGGCGGGUUUCCAAGUCGGGGGUGAAAUUCCAGGGCUCAACCCUGGGACGGCCUUCGAUACUGGGAGCCUGGAGAUCGGGAGAGGUGAGUGGAAUUCCGAGUGUAGAGGUGAAAUUCGUAGAUAUUCGGAGGAACACCAGAAGCGAAGGCGGCUCACUGGGCCGAUACUGACGCUGAGGAGCGAAAGCGUGGGGAGCGAACAGG